AGUGAACGCUGGCGGUAGGCCUAACACAUGCAAGUCGAACGGCAGCACAGUAAGAGCUUGCUCUUACGGGUGGCGAGUGGCGGACGGGUGAGGAAUACAUCGGAAUCUACUUUUUCGUGGGGGAUAACGUAGGGAAACUUACGCUAAUACCGCAUACGACCUACGGGUGAAAGCAGGGGAUCUUCGGACCUUGCGCGAUUGAAUGAGCCGAUGUCGGAUUAGCUAGUUGGCGGGGUAAAGGCCCACCAAGGCGACGAUCCGUAGCUGGUCUGAGAGGAUGAUCAGCCACACUUGAACUGAGACACGGUCCAGACUCCUACGGGAGGCAGCAGUGGGGAAUAUUGGACAAUGGGCGCAAGCCUGAUCCAGCCAUACCGCGUGGGUGAAGAAGGCCUUCGGGUUGUAAAGCCCUUUUGUUGGGAAAGAAAAGCAGCAGGUUAAUACCCCGCUGUUCUGACGGUACCCAAAGAAUAAGCACCGGCUAAGUUCGUG
rnacentral:rRNA from 1 species